AUACGGAGGGUGCAAGCGUUACUCGGAAUCACUGGGCGUAAAGCGCGCGCAGGCGGUCUUUUAAGUUGGAUGUGAAAGCCUACGGCUCAACCGUAGAACUGCAUCCAAAACUAUUAGACUAGAGUGUGGGAGAGGAAGAUGGAAUUAGUUGUGUAGGGGUAAAAUCCGUAGAGAUAACUAGGAAUACCAAAAGCGAAGGCAAUCUUCUGGAACACUACUGACGCUGAGGCACGAAAGCGUGGGGAGCGAACAGGAUUAGAAACCCUAGAGUCC
rnacentral:rRNA from 1 species